AUGCUUCCUGACUUAAAUAGUGCCAGCAACUGCGCCCUGGUCUUAUCUCUACAACCCAGCGCUGGGAGCAGAAAUAUGUCUGGCUACAUGCAUGCUGCCCAGCCAAUGUCAAAACAGAAAUGGGGUCUGUUCUCAAAUGCCAGUAAUGCUUGCAAACGAAGACUCUCAGAGCUCCUGAGAAAAUUUGGUAACAGAACUGAGAACAUAUAA
rnacentral:lncRNA from 12 species